AUUGGGAAGUGGGUGAUUUCCAUCUCUGAUCUUCCCUAUUAAACACUACCUUUAAUUUCCACUUGGGGCUUUACAAUGGUGUCACCUCUUCCAUCCCACAACAAGAAACUUUCUUCUAUACCAUCUUGCUUUCCUCUGACCACCUCUUAAUCCUGAAAAUUUUAAUAUAUAACACCUUUCCAAGAUAAUUUUAAAAGAGGGCUCUUUUGGAGGAAGAUGGAAGAUUAUGUAAGAGACAAAGAAAAUGAAGAUAUGGGUUUCCAUUCCUUCCAAAAUUGGUGUUCUCCAUCUCUUGAUAAGCCCUGGGAUGCUACUGUUGGUUCAAACAAGUGGAAUCCUAUAAGGCAGUGUAACUGGAAUCAGCAUCUUGUGAACUGCUUCCCCUUAUGGAGUGCUGAUAGCCUGAGCCAGAUAUCCUACAAGAGUGAACCCAAGUUCCCAAGUGGAAAGUCACUUCCCAUAGUACCUGCUCAAGGAGGGAGAACACUGUCAUUCACAAAAUAGCUGAAAAGAAUUUCUA
ensembl:lncRNA